UCAAAUGUGAUAAAAAUACGUGUAUUUAUAGUUAUUUUUGAAAGAAAAAAUGUAAAAACUGGUCAAAUUUGUACUUAAGCACUUAAGCAUAAGCUUUAGCUGUAAAGUUAGGGUACUUGUUAAUUAUUAAGUUAGUAUAUGUAUGUGUGUGUCAGAAGAAAACAACGAGCAACUCUGCCUAAAACGACAGUGGGCUAUUUGAAGGACGAGCAACUAAGCGGAAAACCAUUUUUAAACGCUAAGCAAAUCAAAUGCAUGACACCGCAGCAGAGCUUCACUUUAUUAGCUAAGACUUCUGUGUAGUUGGAGACCACAUGUAAGCAUUUUAUGUCAGCGUAAGAUUAACGGCGCAGCCUACAAYGUUACGGAGAAGAAAAUACAUCGAAUACAACGCAUUUUAGAGCUUGAAUGACAACCUGCGCGGCAAUUUUUAAGCAUAAUUUCAGCUUGUGURACCAUUUUGAAUGCUGGAAACGCUGGAGUGAACAUUCAUCAAAUUAAUUUCUACAUUGAAGAAGACCCACUUAGACUCUGAUGCUUAAAAACUAAAACAAAUGAAUUUGGUUGCUCAGUGAGAUUAGAAGUUAUAAUAAUUGAGCAGCUGAAUUUCACAACAAACAACUAAAAAUACAAGAAACAAGUAAUAAAUCAACAAUUGGCGACCACUAGACAACGAGGGAGCAACAUACAUUCGUUUCCAGAAAAGUUCCAGUUUCAAAAUCGGAAGACUCAAACCAAUGUUUCAAAUUCAGCUAAUUGAGACAGUGAACAAGAGGGGAUAGGAGAUCAGGGACAAUUCCAGCCGGUCCCGGAGUUCUCCUCAAUAAAUUAUAAUGUAAUUAAAACAAUAAAUUAAUGAAUCGCAACUCUACAUCGGACCCCGAUUUUCUAUCUUCGAAAUUGUAUUAAGAAGUAACCCCUGGAUAUAUCUAAAUCAACAACUAUCGACUACUAUUUUUAAAAGAGAAUAAGGUCGGAAGCAGAUCAUUCAGAAAAAAAUUAUGAGAAGCCCAUUAGAUGAACAAGCAAUUAGCAAUUUCUUCAACAUGAUACUAAUUUUUGUGUACUUGGAAACUACUGAUGCUGCAUACCCAUUUUACCAUAAGUGGAAGACCAAUAGAUGAACUCAACAUACAUAUGUUCCACCACAACUAGCAGUUCACGGUUUAUUCCGUUCAACYCAAGGGAGACUCUGGUGAAUCUAACCCAUUAGGAUCAGAUUGCUGAUUUUCGUACAACAAGAACUACAUUCAUUAACAUACUUUCAACAACAACAUACUUUUCACCAAAACGAGCGGUUCACGGUUUAUCCCGGUCAACCCAAGAGGAGACACGGGAAAAUCUAACCCUUUAGGGUUAGUUUGUUGAUUUCCGUACAACAAGAACUUCAUCUUUAAUGAUGCUUCAACUAACAAGUAACCAAGUGUACCACCUCUAGUGAAUCACCACAGCCUAACGGUUAAAAUUUGAGACCCCCAGCAACGCUAUUUUUGUGCUAUCUUAGUGAAAAGGCAUUUAAGGUGCUGCUGACCAUGUGCCAUCUCUAAAGCGGACCGGAAUUCCAAGCUGCAACUAUUUUUUCAAUACCAAAACACGACUUUMUAUAUUUGUGACUACCUAUAUGUCAUCUUUAAAGCUUCUGCUACAAUAAUAUGUUCCGUUGAGUCAGCCAAAGGACAUCACUAUCAACAUCGUCACAGCAACCGAGGGAGUACAAAUUGCCAAACAAAAAAUAUUUCCAAACAGUAUGGAUCGUCUAAACAAC